rnacentral:lncRNA from 1 species
GUCUGAACACAUAAAAGAUGGCACCAAAGAGAGGCAUCUAUGGCAGGUGGAGGAUUUCAAUGAAGACACCCCUCUAUGUGUAAAGAAAAGAAUGGUCCUUGCUUGUCAGCAUGGCAAAGCUCGACAGAAAAAAGAAAAGGAGAAACGUUCAGCAGAGCAUGUAUACACAAAAAAACGUUUUCAUGUCCAAAAUGGGAAGAAGUUGGACUGCCCAGCUAAACUUUUCAUUCGGCAUGUGCUGAGAUAUGACUCAUUCAGUGUGAGAGGGGAUGCCACAAAAUCCCAUAAAGAAGACACUAUGAGAAAUCUUAAGAUAGCACUUCAAAACUCAGAAAACCCACCAACCUCUACAUUCAUUCAUCUAAAAAUUCCUCUAUUGGAAGUUCACAAUCAUACAAUUGGAGCAGGAUCCUGUUUUUCAAGACCGAUUCAUCCAAAAAUAAAAAAUCAAAUUCAGGUGAUGGUCGGACAAGGGAUAACUAAUAUAGCUUUCGUGAAGAGAGCCUUGAAGCAGUAUGUGCUAAAUGACUUGUGUGGAGAGGAUCUCCAGCGGCCGCACAACAACGAUGAAGCAUAUUUUCCAUCGAACACAACUAUCCAGAAUCACAUUCACAUGGCAUUAGUGGCUGGUCGUUACUCUGCGCUGGAUCAGGAGAAUCUUGCAAAGAAAGUGGCAGAAUGGAAGGUUGAAGAUGAGGGCAAUCGUUUCUUCUUUAGGAAAUGCACAAAUGGAGGAGAUGAAGAUCUAGAGCAUCAGUUUCUUUUCAUACAUCAGCACCACAAACAAAUACGGCUCCUGCAGCGAUAUGGGGAAAUGGUUCUUUUGAAUGCCACAUACAAAACCUCAAAAUAUUCCAUGCCAUUGUUUUUUUUGGUUGUUCGAACCAAUGUUGGCUACAAACCUGUAGCAGAGUUUGUAUGUGAGAGUGAAACUACAAAGUCCAUUGCAGAAGCACUGGACAUCUUGAAGACAUGGAAUCCUCAGUGGACUCCAAAGUACUUCAUGACAGAUUACAGUGAGCAAGAGAUCCAGGCCCUCGCCCAAGUGUUCCCCACUGCAGUAACACACCUAUGUGCAUUCCACAGAGAGCAGGCCUGGCUCCGCUGGACUAAAGAUGAAAUGGUGCAGAGCCUAUGCGCCAGAGGCAUUUAA